rnacentral:lncRNA from 1 species
UUCGUGGGGGUAAAUAUAAAGAAAAAAUUGGCAUAUGUUUUCUGGGAAAUAGGUUAAGAUUGAUUUUCAUUCAGCAAAUACUUAUCAAGCUUCUUCUAUGAUAUCAAGAACUAUGCUAUGCACUGGGGAAUAAAAAUUGAAAAAGACGGCGCUUGUGUGCAAGUAGUGCAGUCUAGUGGCGUGGCGGGGAUACACAAGUUGUAUAUCUAUGCUGAUUUUUUAAACUCUUACAAACUUUUUUUAUUUUGAGGAAGAUUAGCCCUGAGCUAACAUCUGCCGCCAAUCCUCCUCUUUUUGCUGAGGAAGAUUGGCCCUCAGCUAACAUCCGUGCCCAUUUUCCUCUAUUGUAUGUGGGAUGCCUCCCACAGCAUGGCUUGAAUCAGCUUAUCAAGUGGACAAUACACCAAAACAUCUCUCCAUUUAUCCACGUCUUCUUUUAUGACCCUCAGCAAAGUUUUGUAACUUCUUUGAAGGUUAGCUCUUGCACAUUUAUUUUCAUAUUCAUUCUUUGGCAUUUUACAGUAUUUGUGGUUGAUUUUAAAUGGGAUCUUUUGCCAUGGACCUUUCAAAUUUGUUCUUGCUGGUUUAUAGGAAAGUAUCUCAUAAUUUAUUGAAUACCUGAUAGUUUUUCAGUUGAUUGUUUAGUAUGACAAAUAAAAAUGGCAAAUAAUAGGAUAUGUUGGGGUAUAUGAGGAAGGCAUUUUGUGUAAACCUAAUUCGGCCUGACCUUGUCUUUCCAAAAGGGCCUGACUGUGGCUGUUGAGCAUGCAUUGUAUAUCUGCUUUAGAGAUUCCCUAUGGCAAGAGCAAAGGCCCUUGAGAUAAAGGUGCAACUUCCCUCCCCCUCCCAACGUUGGCAUUUCUUUAAGGAUUAAGCAUCUUUCCUUAG